AUGACGGGAGAAUUGAGGGAAUCGGUUCAGAUGGAGAGAGUCUUAAAAAUGGUGGUUAUGUUGGAGAUGGCGAGAGGCCGUGGAAAUGAAGUAAAGGGCUACAGGAGCUUGAGGAUGGCUCAAAAUUGGAGUCAAGGAAGUUUGAGAAGACGACAUGAGGCGCUAGCCAAAGCCAAUCAGUCUGCAUUCUGUGCUAAAUGA